rnacentral:rRNA from 1 species
GCAUAAUCAAUUGUCUUUUUAUUGAAGACUGGUAUGAAGGAUAAAUACUAAGGGGAUAGUUUUUUUGAAUAAUUUUGAAUUUAAAUUAAAAGUAAAAAUGCUUUUUAUUAAUCUUUGGGACAAGAAGACCCUAGAAGCUUUAGAUAUAAGAUAUCUUUGGUUGGGGCAAUUUGUGAAGAUAAAUAUUUUUGGAAUAAGAGUUAAGUUACUCUAGGGGUAACAGCAUUAUUUAAUUAGCAAGCUCUUAUUAAUAAUUAAGAUUAUGACCUCGAUGUUGAAUUAAUU